CGUUGCCGUCGAUAUCCGACUGUGAAGAAUUUUGGGUCGGAAAGUACAUCCCUUUAAUUCUUCUUUCACAUGUUCCGCACGUAACCGUUCUCUGACUGCUUCUGUGGCCUGAGCUGCGAUAGGACAUCCACAUCGCCGACGCACGAUUCUGGGUGUAUACGUGGCAAAUCUGAGUAAGAACUCCAUGCAUGUUGGCUUGGAACAUUUGGAAUUGUCGCCAUUUUUUCUUUGGAACGCAGAAAUCCAAGCCGACAAAGUGUCCCUUGGGGACUAAUCUGAAGCUGUCACGAAUCCGUGGCGGUCAAGGUACCAGUCAGUGUCUGUUUGCAUCGAACGACAUUCGUCUGUCUACUACCUUCUAACUGCAUGCGAUCUCGCGGGCAGUGCAUAGAUAAAAGAACUGCAAAGCCUUAUCUGGAAACACUUUUGAUGUUUGACAUGCCUGUGUUUCUGUUCUAUGGUUUCGUCCUCGGGUGUGAAAACGGUUCAGACAACAAGGAACUCAGUGGACCCGUUUCGGCAUCUCGUGGACGGCGGGGGAUCUUGGAUGCAACAAGACAAGGAUAGCCAUUCUGCAGAAAUGAUUGUUAGAUGUGUACACUUCGUUUCUCGUGCGUAUCUUCGGAAUAGCCAGUGGCGUUCAGGAAGAAGACCUACCACGAGCGACAAGGCGAUCGGGAAGACUUAGGGGGCCUUGCUCGCUCUGCGCCAUGCGUUCCCUGUGCUUCUUCGCAAUCGCGUCGCUCAGUGGAUUAAUUUGAGGAUGAAACGUCACGCCAUCAAUGGCAUUAGUGAGCGCAUCAGCGAAUACUGACGAACACAAACAACUCGGAGAAGGAC
rnacentral:lncRNA from 1 species